UGGGGGAUAUUGCACAAUGGGCGAAAGCCUGAUGCAGCGACGCCGCGUGGGGGAUGAAGGCUUUCGGGUUGUAAACCUCUUUCGCUAUCGAACAAGGCCCGCUUAGGGUGGGUUGAGGGUAGGUGGAUAAGAAGCGCCGGCUAACUACGUGCCAGCAGCCGCGGUAAUACGUAGGGCGCGAGCGUUGUCCGGAAUUAUUGGGCGUAAAGGGCUUGUAGGCGGCUUGUUGCGCCUGCUGUGAAAACGCGGGGCUUAACUUCGCGCGUGCAGUGGGUACGGGCAGGCUUGAGUGUGGUAGGGGUGACUGGAAUUCCAGGUGUAGCGGUGGAAUGCGCAGAUAUCUGGAGGAACACCGAUGGCGAAGGCAGGUCACUGGGCCAUUACUGACGCUGAGGAGCGAAAGCAUGGGUAGCGAACAGG
rnacentral:rRNA from 1 species